rnacentral:rRNA from 1 species
AUUGAACGCUAGCGGGAUGCUUUACACAUGCAAGUCGAACGGAGUGGCGGACGGGUUAGUAAUGCCUAGGCAUCUGCCUGGUAGUGGGGGCUGACGCCCGGAAACGGGCGCUACUACCGCAUACUAUCAGAUGAGCCCAGGUCGGAUUAGCUAGUUGGUGGGGUAAAGGCGUACCAAGGCGACGAUCCGUAACUGGUCUGAGAGGAUGACCAGUCACACUGGAACUGAGACACGGUCCAGACUCCUACGGGAGGCAGCAGUGGGGAAUUUUGGACAAUGGGGGAAACCCUGAUCCAGCGAUCCCGCGUGUAUGAUGAAGGCCGUCGGGUUGUAAAGUACUUUUGGCAGAGAAGCGGUAUCUGCAGAAUAAGCACCGGCUAACUACGUGCCAGCAGCCGCGGUAAUUC